rnacentral:rRNA from 1 species
UACGUAGGGUGCAAGCGUUAAUCGGAAUUACUGGGCGUAAAGCGUGCGCAGGCGGUUUGUUAAGUCCGUUGUGAAAGCCCCGAGCUCAACUUGGGAAUUGCAGUGGAUACUGGCAGGCUGGAGUACGGUAGAGGAAGGUGGAAUUCCCGGUGUAGCAGUGAAAUGCGUAGAGAUCCGGAGGAACACCAAAGGCGAAGGCAGUGUCCUGGGGAGUACCUGACGCUCAGGUGCGAAAGCCAGGGGAGCGAACGGG